GAAGUGGACAAUGCUGGUAGAUCCACUGAGUACAUACCUAGGGAUUUGCCCACAGAUGAGGGUCCUUCAACCUCAGCACACAAUCUAAGCAGGUUGCCAGCAAAGGAGCUGUAUAAGGUCCAUCUUCAAAAACAAAUAAGAAAAAGUGACAUGGAGAUGGACCUUAUACAGCUUCAAAUGGAAGAGGCUCCUGUCACGGAUACGCCAGGUUCUCACGACGCUUCCUUCAGAUCUCAAUCACUGGAGUUCUGAUAAUCAUCACCUGGUGUCACUCAACACUAAUUGCUCACAGACUAUUUAAGCCACGCUUUCACCUUCAUUUACGUCCAGUCUUGUAUGCUAUGCUUACUAACUCGACUAUCUCAUUCUUCUUCUCAGCAGUGUAUCCUGAUCUGCAUGUUACCAGAUUCAACUCCUUAUCGAGCGUGUGUUUAUCGGAGCACGGGCGAAGCGUCCUUCACCAAUUUGCAGCUUUAUCUCAGACCUGAACUAUCAAUAAACACUGGUUUUGAUUUCAUCUGUUCGUUCAUUGUCUUCUGUACGUUACAGCUCCGCAUUAAAAAAGCAGCACUUGAAAUUGAUUUACUGGAGCAUCGCCUUAAAGAAAUAAAGAAAUAUUGCCUCAAUGCUGGAUUAUGCCUCUACUGUGCGAGCAAAGAUCAUCUCAUCUGUAAAUGCCCAGUCCGUCCAACUCGAGCCCUGGUGAGUACG